rnacentral:rRNA from 1 species
AAUCGUACCCCAAACCGACACAGGUGGUCAGGUAGAGAAUACCAAGGCGCUUGAGAGAACUCGGGUGAAGGAACUAGGCAAAAUGGUGCCGUAACUUCGGGAGAAGGCACGCUGAUAUGUAGGUGAGAUCCCUCGCGGAUGGAGCUGAAAUCAGUCGAAGAUACCAGCUGGCUGCAACUGUUUAUUAAAAACACAGCACUGUGCAAACACGAAAGUGGACGUAUACGGUGUGACGCCUGCCCGGUGCCGGAAGGU